UAUUGUCAGAAUCGGAAAUAUUAUCGGAAUCGGAAAAUAAUUCCGGAAACGGAAAUAUUAAAUAUUUGUUCGAAACGGAAAUUGAUUCCGGAAUCGGAAAUAUUAAAUAUUGUUCGUAUCGGAAAUGAAUUCCGGAACCGGGAAUUUAAUCGGAAGCGUAUCGUACGAAUUAGCAUCGGACGAGGCCUGCCGGACGAAGGCCCAGCACGAAGUCGGGCCAUCGCUCAGCAAGCCAAACGCGCGCCCAGCCAAGGCAGCGCCCAGGCCCACCGCAAGGCAGGCCCAGCGCGCGCCAAGGCCAUGGCCUCGCUGCGUGGGCUGCUGCUCGCACGCACACGCAUGGGCGGCCCUCGUGGCUGCCGUGUGUGUGUGAGUUUGUGUUCAUGCAUGAUUCCUAAAACUAUUAGAGUUAGUAUAUGAUUAAAUUCCUAUUCCUAAAAGGAUAAAUUAAUUAAUUAGAGUUCUUGUAGGAUUCUAAGUUUAAUUAAUUCGCAUCCUACUAGGAUUCCAAUUCCCUUUCCAUAACUCUAUAAAUACGUGCCUAGGGUCACAUAUUUUCAGAGAUUAAUUCAAGUAUUCAAAGUGAGUUUUGAGAGAAAAAUUCAGUCAUAUUUCUUACCUAAGAGUGCCGAAAAUUCUAGUACCUUAAGGGCGAUUCUAGUUGGUCAAUCUUAAGGCGGAUCCGGACGUGCUGUGGACUAUCUACGGAGGGACGACACUUGGAGUCCUAAAGACUUGUUCUUGUUCGGUUCGGGCGCAGCUAGGGAAGGCACGCAACAAAGAUGUGCAAGACAAGGGUUUGCUUUAGGUUUGACACCAUUAAUCAGUAUGAAUUCUAAGAUUAGAGUUGAUUCAGUGCUAAAGCUGAUUAUUGAUUCAUUGGAGGUCACUUCUUCAAUGAAAGGGCAGGAGGCAAGGGAUUGUCUUUUGGGCUAUCUUUUUUGCUUAUGGUGCCAUUGCAAGGUCUGGGAGAUUGAAAGAAGAAUGUGGGUCUGAUAGAAAUAGUCCUUACAUCAAAGAAUUUACAAGUCAUCUUAUAUCUAUGGCAUCCAAGAAAUGAUACCUGCAAGAGCCAGAUGUUUCAGUACUUGUGAACUUAAU